CGCGUAGGCGGUUCGUUAAGUCGUUGGUGAAAUCCCGGGGCUCAACUCCGGGGCGGCCGACGAGACUGGCGGGCUCGAGCACGGUAGAGGCAGAUGGAAUUCCCGGUGUAGCGGUGGAAUGCGUAGAUAUCGGGAAGAACACCAGUGGCGAAGGCGUUCUGCUGGGCCGUUGCUGACGCUGAGGCGCGACAGCGUGGGGAGCAAACA
rnacentral:rRNA from 1 species